UACGUAGGGUGCAAGCGUUGUCCGGAAUUAUUGGGCGUAAAGAGCUCGUAGGCGGUUUGUCGCGUCUGCUGUGAAAACCCAAGGCUCAACCUCGGGCCUGCAGUGGGUACGGGCAGACUAGAGUGCGGUAGGGGAGAUUGGAAUUCCUGGUGUAGCGGUGAAAUGCGCAGAUAUCAGGAAGAACACCCGUGGCUAAGGCGGUUCUCUAGUACGGUACUGACGCUGAGACGCGAAAGCGUGGGGAGCGAACAGG
rnacentral:rRNA from 1 species